UACCAGCACCCCGAGUGGUCGGGACGAUUAUUGGGCCUAAAGCAUCCGUAGCCGGUUCUACAAGUCUUCCGUUAAAUCCACCUGCUUAACAGAUGGGCUGCGGAGGAUACUAUAGAGCUAGGAGGCGGGAGAGGCAAGCGGUACUUAGUGGGUAGGGGUAAAAUCCGUUGAUCCAUUGAAGACCACCAGUGGCGAAGGCGGCUUACUGGUCCGGUUCUGACGCUGAGGCGCGAAAGCCAGGGGAGCAAACGGG
rnacentral:rRNA from 1 species